rnacentral:ncRNA from 1 species
GCAGGAGGACGACCUCCCCCGUAGUGGGAACCGAAUCGGGACGGCCCGG